rnacentral:rRNA from 1 species
CCCUUAGACGUUCUGGGCCGCACGCGCGCUACACUGACCAGUGCAACAAGCAUCCGUCCUUGGCCGACAGGCUCGGGCAAUCUUUGAACGCUGGUCGUGAUGGGGAUAGACUUUUGCAAUUUUUGGUCUUCAACGAGGAAUUCCUAGUAAACGCAAGUCAUCAACUUGCAUUGAUUACGUCCCUGCCCUUUGUACACACCGCCCGUCGCACCUACCGAUUGAAUGGUCCGGUGAAGCCUCCGGAUUGGCGCGCACCUCGGUGCCGCCGAGAAGUUGGCUAAACCUUAUCAUUUAGAGGAAGGUGAAGUCGUANCA